rnacentral:rRNA from 1 species
CUUAUGGAUGGACCCGCGGCGUAUUAGUUAGUUGGUGAGGUAACGGCUCACCAAGACGAUGAUACGUAGCCGACCUGAGAGGGUGAUCGGCCACAUUGGGACUGAGACACGGCCCAAACUCCUACGGGAGGCAGCAGUAGGGAAUCUUCCGCAAUGGACGAAAGUCUGACGGAGCAACGCCGCGUGAGUGAAGAAGGUUUUCGGAUCGUAAAACUCUGUUGUCAGAGAAGAACAAGUCGGAGAGUAACUGCUCCGGCCUUGACGGUAUCUGACCAGAAAGCCACGGCUAACUACGUGCCAGCAGCCGCGGUAAUACGCAGGUGGCAAGCGUUGUCCGGAUUUAUUGGGCGUAAAGCGAGCGCAGGCGGUUCCUUAAGUCUGAUGUGAAAGCCCACGGCUCAACCGUGGAAGGUCAUUGGAAACUGGGGAACUUGAGUGCAGAAGAGGAGAGUGGAAUUCCAUGUGUAGCGGUGAAAUGCGUAGAU